UUAGAAUACAUAAUUUUAUGAAAUAUUUAAUAAACUUUCAUUUUACGAACGUCAUACAUUGAAAGCAUAAAGUGUAUUGUUGCAUCUAAAAUUGACUUUUCAGUAAGCGUUGGCUUACACUCUGUUGAAGCCCACAUCCGGUUUAUUCAGAACUCAGUUUAGUAAUUGCAACAGAUAAUGACAUCAGUUCACACCACUAAUAUUUCCCCUGUCUUAUUCACAGAACAGUGAUCUGUAUAGGAAAACAGUUGUUCUCACUGUAUGUUUUAUAUCUGUUUUACAUGUUGAGAGUCUCUCAAUAAUAACACCAUUGAUAUCCAUUGCCAUUGUCAGGUGGCUGCUGAAGCUCCUGUAAUGUCUGCUGGGAUAGCCAUGUUUACCACCCUCAACCUCAGGCUGUUCCCCAUUGAGAGCUUCAUGCCCAACAAGGGUGCAGCACACCGAAUCCCCCCUGAUUCAGGAGCUCAUGUAAACAACCUGCGGGCAGCACCUCCUCUCCCCAGACUGUACCCGGUUACUAAGAUCUCAUACUGCUCCCAUAAAGAACACCUCCAGAUUUCUCCAGAAGUCUUUUUUAUUUCUUUUACAGGGACAUCUGUAAACUCAGCUGUGUUGGAUUGCGACAUGGCCUUUAUCAGAAAAUUGGGGUGUGCAGUUAAGCCAUCUAUAUACAGGAGAUUACAUGCCUCAUUGCUCCCGUCCUCCAUCACAGACUGAGCAGAGCAUAUGCAUUGAGUUGCGCUGUGUUUACCACAACCACGCGGUCUCUCCAUUACAGAAGAACGCUGUGAUGACAGGUAUUCCAGUCCCUGAUUUUGAGCCCUGUUAUGACAUCUCUCCUCCCUUCUCCACCCACCUGCUUCUUAACGCUGGUCCUUGACUUAAUGUGGCCGUCAUGGUGACUGUCUAGGACAGAUGAGAGCUAAUUGAAAUAGAAGGCUGCUUCUCACUGAUCUAGACUGACAGCAUCCCCUCGCCAGAAGUGACUGUACCACCCCAUGCUGGCAGUUUUCACAGUGAAAGAAAAGUGUGUGGUGGUGAAAAAGGCAGGCUGUGCUGCGAGUACUUGGGCUGCCUGCCAAAGCUGCCGGAUGAGUUUAUUAAAAACAAGAAGAGAGAUGCAUAUAUUUCCAUUUUGUACCCUCAAAGAAUAAUAGCAAGGUUUUGAGCUAUGUGCUGCGAAGGACUGACCCUUUCCGACAUACUAUCAGCGAUCACAAUGAGCCAGGCUCGGGGAUGGAGCGAAUAGCGCAGCACACAGUCUAAAUAAUUUCACAUGCCGGGCAUGUCAGUUUUGAUGUAAUGAGCUCUGAUUUUGUCAUCCAGUGCUGUGCAGAUAGGUUAAUCAUUUUCAUUAACACCACCUCCUCUGAGAGACCUUUUCCUCUCCAGUGCUGUCAGCGGUACGUUGGCUUGGCGAGCGCUCAGACCCCGGCGCCCCUCAGAUGUGUUAGUCUAGUGCCAGAAAAGACUGAAUCGAUGCACACAGACAGGCAAGGACCCCUCAGCGGGCCCUGAGUGGACGGCUGUGAUUACUGCUGACAAUAAUUUAUGGGCCUGGCUGAUUGAAAACAUGAGAGAUGUAGUUAGAGUUGCAAGGGUGAUUAGGCACCACCUUAAGAUACAAAGAUGGUGUCACAGCUGCUGCUGGGAGAAAGUCUGCAGCCGUUCGCCGCAUGCCUUCUGCCCUGCAGUAAAAACCGGAAUUGCACCCCACGUCUGUGCCCCCUGCCAGCCCAUACACAUGCGCAUAGAACUGAUUAUAUUGCAUUAAACUGUUCUUGUGCAUCAUUUUUUAUUCUGCCUUUUUACAUUAGAAUCAAAGUUCCAUAUGUAGAUUUGGUGAGAGUAGAUAACAUGCAUUUAUUCCUAUGGUUUUGAGGAAAUCAUUCAUAGUCAAAAUCAUUCAUUUGCUGUAAACUGUGAACUCUUUAUCAUAAUACACAAUCCUCAACACUUCAGAUCUGCUUUCAGUAACACCUCCAUCCUUUACAUAUUCAUCUGGUCUUUCUCACCCCAGAGGGAGAAUUACCGUGGCUGUAAAACAAUGCCUACACAUCUAAUAUCAUAUUGACUGUUGCAUAUCAAAAAUGUUUUUGUGGUUUCAAUGAAUUUAGUUUGCGUUGUAGACAAUAAAUCAACAUGUAUUUUCA
ensembl:lncRNA